rnacentral:rRNA from 1 species
AGAGUUUGAUCCUGGCUCAGAACGAACGUUGGCGGCAUGGAUUAGGCAUGCAAGUCGGGGGAAUCUCCCGCAAGGGAGGGAACCGGCGUAAGGGGCAGUAAGGCAUGGGUACCUACCCUGAAGUUCGGGAUAGCCAUCAGAGAUGGUGGGUAAUACCGGAUGAUGUCGUGAGACCAAAGAUUUAUCGCUUUGGGAGGGGCCCAUGUGAUAUUAGCUAGUUGGUGAGGUAACGGCUCACCAAGGCGAAGAUGUCUAGCGGGUAUGAGAGUACGACCCGCGCCACUCGCACUGAGACACUGGCGAGACACCUACGGGUGGCUGCAGUCGAGGAUCUUCGGCAAUGGGCGAAAGCCUGACCGAGCGAUGCCGCGUGCGCGAUGAAGGCCUUCGGGUUGUAAAGCGCUUUAGUGGGGGAGAAAGGGGUAAAACCUUGAUCUAUCCCAAAAAUAAGCUCGGGCUAAGUUCGUGCCAGCAGCCGCGGUAAUUC